UACGUAGGGCGCAAGCGUUGUCCGGAAUUAUUGGGCGUAAAGAGCUCGUAGGUGGCGUGUCGCGUCUGCCGUGAAAGCCCAUGGCUUAACUGUGGGUCUGCGGUGGAUACGGGCAGGCUGGAGGCUGGUAGGGGCAAGCGGAAUUCCUGGUGUAGCGGUGAAAUGCGUAGAUAUCUGGAGGAACACCGGUGGCGAAGGCGGCAUCCUGGACCGGCAUUGACGCUGAGGCGCGAAAGCCAGGGGAGCAAACGGG
rnacentral:rRNA from 1 species